UACCCGUCGCUCUAGUUGUGACCAUUAUUAUUGAGUCUAAAGCGUUCGUAGCUGGUCUGAAUAGUUUGUGCUUAAAUCGCUCAGUUCAACUGAGCGGUGUGGUAUGAAUACUUUCGGACUAAAGGCCGGGAGGGGGGCUGGAAACUUUUCAGGUAGGAGUAAAAUCCUUUAAUCUGAAAAAGACCACCAGGGGCGAAGGCGCAGCUCCGGGACGGACCUGACUGAGAGGGACGAACGCUAGGAGAACGAACCGGAUUAUAUACCCGGGUAGCCCUACCAAUAAACGCUGCUUACUAUACGUUGCAUUUCCAUAAGGAAAUGCAGUGUGACAGCGAAUGCGUUAGGUAAGCCACUUGGGGAGUAUAAUCGCAAGGUCUAAACUUAAAGGAAUUGGCGGCGGAGCACAAAAACGGGUGAAGUUUGCGGUUCAAUUGGAUUCAACUCCCGUAAUCUUACCAUAAGCGACAGCGAGAUGAAGGCCAGUCUGAAAAAGUUGCUCAAUGCGCUGAAAGGUAUUGCAUGGCCGUCAUCAGUUAGUAUCUUGAGACGUCCCGUUAAGUCGGGUAACUAACAAGACCCUCUUCCGUAUUUGCUAACGUUUCCCAUCCGGGUAAGACACGGAGCACAAAUAAUGAGAGGACUGCCGUGUCGACAAGAACAGAAGGAAAGGCGGAGGGACGACGGUCAGGUCAGUCCGAUCCCUAAUCCUCAGGGCUACACGCGAAUUGCAAUGGUAAAGGACAGAGGGAAGCCCAAUCCGAAAGGGGGGAGCCAAUCCCAUGAAAUCGACCCCAAUUCGGAUCGACGGUCUGAACUCGGCCUGCAGAACGUCGGAAUCCGUAGUAACCGCGAUCAACAAAGCGCGGUGAAUAUGUUCCCGCUCCU
rnacentral:rRNA from 1 species